CUCCUGUGAGUGUCCAAACAUCUGGACACAUGGCAGUAACAUUGUGAGGUGCUCCAAGUAAAAUCUUUAAAUGUGUAGCUCUACCCCAGGGUGACUGUGGUCUAACAGUUCUUUUAUAAAAAGGCAUCAGAAUGCUCAACAGGAUAAAUUUACAAAACUUACAAAUUAUCCAAUUGCACUUUAAUACACGAAGUUCUAGUAAUUAAGUAGAAUCAUUGUGAAUGAAUUGCCCCGACUCUUGAUAUGAGCUAGAUAAAAGUAAUCCUGUCUUUUGUCCUUCUCCCAACACAACGCUAUAGAGCUGGAGUGCUGAGCAUCUCUUCCUAACAAAUUGUCUACUCCAAAUCCACAGGAACUGAU